UACGGAGGGUGCGAGCGUUGUCCGGAAUCAUUGGGCGUAAAGGGCGCGUAGGUGGCGGGACAAGCGUGCGGUGAAAGCUCGGGGCUCAACCCCGCGUCGGCCGUGCGAACUGUUUUGCUUGAGCACUGUAGAGGCAGGCGGAAUUCCGGGUGUAGCGGUGGAAUGCGUAGAGAUCCGGAAGAACACCGGUGGCGAAGGGCGGCCUGCUGGGCAGUAGCUGACACUGAGGCGCGACAGCGUGGGGAGCAAACAGG
rnacentral:rRNA from 1 species